rnacentral:misc_RNA from 1 species
AUCACAGUCAACGUGACCCAACUUAACCUUCCCCUUCAAGCUAUUAGCAGCCUUCUUCCACUCAGGAGCUAAUUUUUUACAAUGUCCACACCUUGAAAAGUAUAUUAUGCAUAAUUUUAUCAGCAAAUUUGCAAAAUGAACAUUUAAGGAAGAAUACAAAAGUUAUGCAAAGUCAAGUAUCCAUGCAACUUAUGCUUAAACCUUAUCUUUUGGAAUUCAAUUCAUAACACUCAACCAACUUAAGAUCUGGAUAUAAAAUGCCACAUAAAGUCAACAUAAUGAAUUGUAUUGUGAAAGAUUGACUACUCAUACAGCUUGCAUUUGUCUUAGAAUUAUAGACUAGAGAAACCACCAUCUAUUGCCAGUGUCAAAAUAAUCAACAUAGUGGUUGAAUCACAUAUGCGAAUGCCAAGAGAUUGUUCUGGAUUUCCCUUUGCCCGUUAUUCUUCAAUAAUUAAAAAGAUUAGUUUCAAGUCCAAAUUACUUCAUUUGGAAUAUGGAUUCUCUUCAUUUUUAUUGAUUUGAUCAUCCUCUAAGUGCCAUAAUGUGAAUACUCAUAUUCAUCUUUUAUAUGGAGAAAUGGAAUAAUAACCAUGCUAAUUUCAUGCAACAUAUAUGACAAUCAUAUCUAGUGCCACAAAGUUUAAUAAAUUUGAUGCAAUGCAAGCAAGGCAUGUAUGUGUUUUCAGAUAGGCAAAUGGAUGGGCAUUCAUAAUACAUAUAGAUUAUACGAAUAUCACUCCAUUGAGGGAUGCUGUUAUGCAAAUAAUCAUAAAAAAAAAAUUAAACUUUUUACACUUAUUUCAUCCUGUAAAUUAAAUUUUAAUUCGUAAGAUAUUGAUUUUAUUCCAAUUUUAUCUAAUGGGUUUGGGUUGUGUAUCACGCCAAUAUGAUGCCAAGAUGUAUGGAAGGCAUAUACAUAGACAUAACUUACUGACUUGGGAGUGGAACCCACUUGAGCCCUAAAAGCCACCAAAUGGUGGCAUUUUGCAAAAUUCUCCUCCCUAUAAAGCUGCUUGAUAGUAUGAAAAAUACCACUUUUGGUGAAUCUUAAGGCUCAAGAGGGGGUCACAUUAUCUGAGUUAUCAAUUUUUGUCCAGGUUGGGAGUUUACCACAACCCCACAACAAAAUAGGCACAUGAGCCUAGACUCAUUAAAUAAAAUUAAAACAAAAUUAGUAACUUAUGAACUAAGUUCAUAAAUAUUAAAAGCAUAUGAUAGAAUUGAAAAAGUGCGAAAAGUUCAGGUUUUAUUGGAUCACUGGGCCUAUGUUUAGCUAAUUAUACAUGUGUUCUGGUUCUUCCUUGAAUUAAUACUUUUUUUAAAACAAAUUUUAUAUGAGCCAGAACUGUAAAUUAUAGAUACAUGUAGGAUUUAUUGGUCAACUGUUACUCAAACUGCCUCUUAUUUUUUUCUGAAUUCUUUUCCGUUCUUUAAUAAUGCUGUAUAAAUGUUACUAACAUACAUUCAGGUUUGGCAGUAAAAUGCUGUAUGAUCUUAAUAUGUGCCGUGUGGAGUCUGUAUGAUCUUUAGGUAUCUCCUUGCUCAGAGUGCAGCGGGAAGGGCAAGACCGUUACUGAUUACUGCCAAAAGUGUGGUGGCAAUGGUAAAGUAAGUUCAAAGCGAAGUAUGAAAGUGGUAAUUCCACCUGGCAUCAGUAAUGGAGCUAUGAUGCAAAUUCAAGGGGAGGGUAAUUUUGACAAGAAAAGGUGCAUGACUCGGUUUUGAAUGAAGAUUUUCUGUCCAUGGAACUUGUUUCACUCUUGCUGAUAUAGUUCUCGCACAUGGAUAUGUGAAGCUUGGAUUUGUGUCUUUAUUUUUCUUGAUCUUUCUUUUUCCCCCACUUGGUGCAUGUGAAGCUUGGCUUUGUGUCUUUAUUUUUCUUGAUCUUUCUUUUUCCCCCACUUGGUGCAUGUGAAGCUUGGCUUUGUGUCUUUAUUUUUCUUGAUCUUUUCUUUUCCCCUACUUGGUGUUCUGUUAGCAGCUUUAAUAUUGAGUGAUGAAAUUAUGAAAAGAAUAUAGGAUUCAGACCCUACAUUAUAGGAAUGAUUUCUUCUUGAUUGCCAAUUUCUUAUUUGGCAAAAACAUUGGUUAUUUCUUAGGCAAGUGCUAAAUAUGAAAAUAAAUUUGCUGC